AGUACGGCCGCAAGGCUAAAACUCAAAGGAAUUGACGGGGGCCCGCACAAGCGGCGGAGCAUGCGGAUUAAUUCGAUGCAACGCGAAGAACCUUACCAAGGCUUGACAUGUGCCAGACCGGAUCAGAGAUGGUCUUUCCCUUCGGGGCUGGUUCACAGGUGGUGCAUGGUUGUCGUCAGCUCGUGUCGUGAGAUGUUGGGUUAAGUCCCGCAACGAGCGCAACCCUCGUUCCAUGUUGCCAGCACGUAGUGGUGGGGACUCAUGGGAGACUGCCGGGGUCAACUCGGAGGAAGGUGGGGAUGACGUCAAAUCAUCAUGCCCCUUAUGUCUUGGGCUUCACGCAUGCUACAAUGGCCGGUACAAUGGGUUGCGAUACUGUGAGGUGGAGCUAAUCCCUAAAAGCCGGUCUCAGUUCGGAUUGGGGUCUGCAACUCGACCCCAUGAAGUCGGAGUCGCUAGUAAUCGCAGAUCAGCAACGCUGCGGUGAAUACGUUCCCGGGCCUUGUACACACCGCCCGUCAAGUCACGAAAGUUGGUAACACCCGAAGCCGAUGGCCUAACCACCUUGUGUGGGGGGAGUCGUCGAAGGUGGGACUGGCGA
rnacentral:rRNA from 1 species